ensembl:lncRNA
AAUAAUUUUGGGCUAUAAACACCACGUCUCAUUCUUUAGACAUCAGCCGUUUUACACAGUCUUGAAAUCAACAAAGUUACGAGCAAAAGCCAUGAGAGAUGGUUCACCACUAUAUUAGCAAUUUUGUUAAUAUCUGUUGAAUAUUAAGUCAGAAAGAGGACAGAUCAUAUAACAGUAGUUUCCUACUAUUGCUAGUAAAAACUCUACUUUAAAAACACAGCCAUGUGAUCAUUUACACUUGCAAACACUCACUGUACUGAUACUAAGGAGCCAAUGUUGACAAAAAUAUGACAUUAAAGAGUAUUUGCUAAGAUUUCUUUUUAACCCAGGUCUCAUGAGAAUGUCACUGUAUGUGUAUAUAAAGAUUCAUAUGUGAAGCUGUUCUUAACUCAGAAGUACGUAUAGCAUGACAGGAACAUGGCCUGCAGUUAUAGACCGAGGAAAACUUCCCAGCCUGUAACAAAAUAUGAACCACAGACAGAAGCCUUCGAGCCUCAUCGCAGUAGUAAAAUACCACAAAAUAAACAAACCCACUCUUGCACUUUACUUCACAUUAGAUGAAAAUAUUUUAAAAGUGCAAGUUGUCAGCAUUAGCCUUUUAGCAGUGAUGUAAAAUGUUAUUUUAGUUUAGUCCAUGGUUAAUGCACAAUUUUCCUCAGUGGAAGUGUUUAGAAUUACAAAAAUAAAAUUAUAGUAAGUUUUCAGUAGUAUCUUAAAAUAUCUUUACACUGCACUUUCAUUGGAAGACAAAAAAAAAGAAAAAACUGCAGCAAUUCAGAUACCAUUGAGCUGAAUGUAUUAAAGAGGAAGCCGAUAUGUAACCACUGAUAACAAACAGCAACAGCUCAUAUGUUAAAUAAUUUUAAACACAGAAUUUACUGCAUUAACUGCAAAUCAGCACAGCAACUCUGAACUAUAGACCAACUGAAGUCCACACCAAAUGUCCUUCAGAUCUGGGCACAUUUAAUUUGUUAUAGGGUCAGAGAUUCAAAAACUAAAACCAGUCUAAGGGUAUUCUAGCAUGCUGUUGGGAGUUAGCCCUGUUCGAAUCAGAAGCAGAUAUUUAAUGGUGGUCCAGUGGGUCUACCUUGUCGCCACAAGAAUGAACACCAGCGUGUGGGAUUAGACCCAGAGACACUUGAACAUCUCCACCUGGAGCAGAAACUCAUUCCCACUCAUGCAUAGUGCCCUUUUCUGGCUGAGAACCAUGGUUUCAAACUUGGACAUGCUAAUUUCUCAUCCCAAGGCAGUGUAAGCAGAAGCCUAAAAAACCCACAUGAUCUGCAAAAUGUAGAGAUGGGAUCCUGACCCCACCAAACCUAACACCCUCCACUUCUUGGCUGUGCCAUGAAAUGCUAUUACUAAAAAUGAACAGAAUGCGAGUAAAUAACACUGAAUCCU